CAAGACACAUGUCCUGUGUCCCGGGGAGCCAGGCCAGGCCUCGGCACAAACAGGCACCUUCGGCGGGAGAGGCAGACACCGGGCAGGGGAGCAGCUGGGGCCGAGCCCAUCUAAGCCUACCCGCCCUGGAGAACGCAUCUGCUGCCAGGACUGCCCAGCCAUCCACGCACCCCCUCCCCACGAUGCCAGUAUCAGGCCGGGCGAGACUCACCGUUUUCCCGGUGCUGGAAGGAAGGGGAGAACUCUUUGGCAGUGAUCCUGGCGAUCCGCGCCUCCUCCUGGGCUUUCUGAGCCGCCGUGAGGGCUGCCUCGGCCUUUGCCCGAGAGUGGGAGGUCCUGGGGGAGACAGGGAGGAGCGUGAGGGGGGCAGGAGGCACGGGCUGGGCUAAGACAAGAUGCUGGCACCCCGUGUUUACCCUCAGACUUCUGGAUCUUGUUCAUUCAUUCAUUCAUUCAAUAAACAUCGCUGAGCAUCAACCAA
rnacentral:antisense_RNA from 1 species